UGAGGAAUAUUGGUCAAUGGGCGGAAGCCUGAACCAGCCAAAGUCGCGUGAGGGAAGACGGCCCUACGGGUUGUAAACCUCUUUUGCCGGGGAGCAAUGCCCAGCUCGCGAGCUGGGAAGGAGAGUACCCGGAGAAAAAGCAUCGGCUAACUCCGUGCC
rnacentral:rRNA from 1 species